rnacentral:rRNA from 1 species
CUACGGGUUGCUGCAGUGGGGAAUAUUGCACAAUGGGCGCAAGCCUGAUGCGGCCAUGCCGCGUGUAUGAAGAAGGCCUUCGGGUUGUAAAGUACUUUCAGCGGGGAGGAAGGGAGUAAAGUUAAUACCUUUGCUCAUUGACGUUACCCGCAGAAGAAGCACCGGCUAACUCCGUGCCAGCAGCCGCGGUAAUACGGAGGGUGCAAGCGUUAAUCGGAAUUACUGGGCGUAAAGCGCACGCAGGCGGUUUGUUAAGUCAGAUGUGAAAUCCCCGGGCUCAACCUGGGAACUGCAUCUGAUACUGGCAAGCUUGAGUCUCGUAGAGGGGGGUAGAAUUCCAGGUGUAGCGGUGAAAUGCGUAGAGAUCUGGAGGAAUACCGGUGGCGAAGGCGGCCCCCUGGACGAAGACUGACGCUCAGGUGCGAAAGCGUGGGGAGUAAACAGGAUUAGAUACCCUAGUAGUC